AGUGAAGCGGGAUGAGCUCAAAUUUAAAAUCUGGCUGGUUUACUAGUCCGAAUUGUAGUUUAUAGAAGCGUUUUCGGUGGCAGCCUGGGUAUAAAUCCUUUGGAAUAGGGUAUCAUAGAGGGUGAGAAUCCCGUCUUUGACUCAGUGCAUGCUACUAUGUGAUACGUUUUCAAAGAGUCGAGUUGUUUGGGAAUGCAGCUCAAAAUGGGUGGUAAAUUUCAUCUAAAGCUAAAUAUUGGCGAGAGACCGAUAGCGAACAAGUACCGUGAGGGAAAGAUGAAAAGAACUUUGAAAAGAGAGUUAAACAGUGCGUGAAAUUGUUGAAAGGGAAACGUUUGACACCAGUUAUGCGGGUGGAAAAUCAGUCUUUUGCAGUGGGGAGUUGUGGGCGUUCAGACCGCAAGGCUGGCGUUUGCUUCAUCUUUGUUGUAAGUGAUGCACUUUUUCAUUUGCAGGUCAACAUCAGUUUGCUCUGCUGGACAAAACUCCAAGGGAAGGUGGCAGCUUAGGCUGUGUUAUAGCCCUGGAGCGAUACAGUGGGGUGGACUGAGGUUUCGCAGUGUGUGCUUUCGGGCAAGGCUGACUGGGUGCUAUGGGAUCGUUCGGCGUACAAUGCAUGCAUUUUGCGUCGUGUCUUUUUCAUACUCGCUCAACUCGGCUCUUCCACGCUUAGGAUGUUGACUUAAUGGUUUUAAACGACCCGUCUUGA
rnacentral:rRNA from 1 species